rnacentral:rRNA from 1 species
CAGAGGGUGCAAGCGUUGUUCGGAAUUAUUGGGCGUAAAGCGCGUGUAGGCGGCUUAGCAAGUUGGGUGUGAAAGCCCUCGGCUUAACCGAGGAAGUGCGCCCAAAACUACUUGGCUUGAGUACCGGAGAGGGUGGCGGAAUUCCCGGUGUAGAGGUGAAAUUCGUAGAUAUCGGGAGGAACACCAGUGGCGAAGGCGGCCACCUGGACGGUCACUGACGCUGAGACGCGAAAGCGUGGGGAGCAAACAGGAUUAGAUACCCUGGUAGUCCACGCUGUAAACGAUGAGCGCUAGGUGUUGCGGGUGUUGACCCCCGCAGUGCCGCAGCUAACGCAUUAAGCGCUCCGCCUGGGAAGUACGGCCGCAAGGCUA